rnacentral:rRNA from 1 species
CCUACGGGAGGCAGCAGUGGGGAAUAUUGCACAAUGGGCGAAACCCUGAUGCAGCGACGCCGCGUGAGUGAAGAAGUAUUUCGGUAUGUAAAGCUCUAUCAGCAGGGAAGAAAAUGACGGUACCUGAUUUAGAAGCCCCGGCUAACUACGUGCCAGCAGCCGCGGUAAUACGUAGGGGGCAAGCGUUAUCCGGAUUUACUGUGUGUAAAGGGAGCGUAGACGGCAGGACAAGUCUGGAGUGAAAUGCCGGGGCUUAACCCCGGAACUGCUUUGGAAACUGUGCAGCUAGAGUGCAGGAGAGGUAAGUGGAAUUCCUAGUGUAGCGGUGAAAUGCGUAGAUAUUAGGAGGAACACCAGUGGCGAAGGCGGAUUACUGGACUGUAACUGACGUUGAGGCGCGAAAGCGUGGGGAGCAAACAGGAUUAGAUACCCUAGUAGUC